rnacentral:rRNA from 1 species
UAGGGAAUCUUCCACAAUGGGCGAAAGCCUGAUGGAGCAACGCCGCGUGUGUGAUGAAGGCUUUCGGGUCGUAAAGCACUGUUGUAUGGGAAGAACAGCUAGAAUAGGAAAUGAUUUUAGCUUGACGGUACCAUACCAGAAAGGGACGGCUAAAUACGUGCCAG